UUUUUUUUUUUUUUUUUUUUGAGACGGAGUCUCACUCUGUCUCCCAGGCUGGAGUGCAGUGGCAUUAUCUCAGCUCACUGCAAGCUCCGCCUCCCAGGUUCACGCCAUUCUCCUGCCUCAGCCUCCCGAGUAGCUGGGACCACAGGCGCCCACCACCACGCCCAGCUAAUUUUUUGAAGUUUUUUAGUAAAGACAGGGUUUCACCGUGUUAGCCAGGAUGGUCUCCAUCUCCUGACCUCGUGAUCCGCCCGCCUCGGCCUUCCAAAGCUCUGGGAUUACAGGCGUGAGCCACCACGCCCGGCCAUUUCUGUAAAUCUUACUGAGCUCAAGCAAUUCUCCCACCUUGGCCUCCUGAGUAGCUGGGACUACAGGCACAUGCCACCAUGCUGGCAAUUUUUAUUUAUUUAUUUUAAGAAAUGUGCUCUUAAUACAAAAAUUAGCCAGGCAUGGUGGUGCACUUGUAGUUCCAGCUACUCGGGAAGCUUAGGUGGGAGAAUCGCUUGAACCCAGGAAGGGAAGAUAGCAGUGACCCGAGAUCACACCACUGCACUCAAGCCUGGGUGACAGAGAGAGACCCUAUCUCCUUUUUUUUUUUUUGAUGGUAGCCCCCUACCCUGAUGCCCAGAGCUCAGCUCUGUGGUGGCAGCUCCCAUACCUGUCCUCCAUGUCCCUGCCUGAGCCCCCAGCUGCCUGUCCUGGACAGCCCAGGCCCUGGGAUAGUGCUGCAGAAUGAGGUUGUCAGCAGGGGUUUGGUGGAGGCCCUCAGGAGGAGAGGGGAGGGGUGCUGGCCUCCAGGGAGCCAGGCCCAGGAUUUGUAGACUAUGUGCACAUAAGUCCAAGAGAUCUCACCCCAAAGCUACACCUCCAGGGUGCCCAGAAUGAGGAUUGGUGGGGAGGGGCUUCAGCUUGGUCAAAGAGCUGGAAGCACCCUUGGGCUUCAAAGUCUGGGAGGAGGGAGCUGCUGGGGUUAGUAAUGUAUGUCAGGGAGAGGUAGGGGGGUGGCCACAGGAGGCCAGGAGCCAGGACGCUGCCUGGCCCAGGUCUCGGAGUAGUAAGGCAGGGUCAGCCCCAGGGAAGGCUGUGGGAAGUAGAGGAGGAUGUGGGCAUUGGUGGAGGGCCGGGGGCUCACAGGGUUCUCAUACUGGGGACCAGGAUCUCAUGGGGGCUCGCUACUAGGCCAGGGUGUAAAAGGGGGCCUCACAGUGGGGACGGUCUCACCCUGGUGCCAUCAGGGACUCACAGGAAGGGCUUCAAAGGGUGUGCGGCAAGA
rnacentral:lncRNA from 1 species